AGGUCAAGCUAAUAAGGGCUAACGGUGGAUACCUAGGCACACGGAAGCGAAGAAGGACGUAGUUACCGACGAAACGCUUCGGGGAGCGGGAAGCAAGCAUUGAUCCGAAGAUAUCCGAAUGGGGCAACCCUAAACACGACCACCUGAAUACAUAGGGUGGAGCGAGCAAACCUGGUGAACUGAAACAUCUUAGUAGCCAGAGGAAAAGAAAGCAACAGCGAUUCCCCCAGUAGCGGCGAGCGAAAAGGGAACAGCCUAAACCAAGUUCUGCGGAACUUGGGGUCGUGGGACAGUGACAAAAGACUGGGAAAUUUAGACGAAGCGGCUGAAAACCGCACCAGAGAAGGUGAAAGUCCUGUAGUCGAAAAAGGCACCAGCUUAACUGCAUCCCGAGUAGCAUGGGGCACGUGAAAUCCCGUGUGAAUCUGCCUCGACCACGAGGUAAGGCUAAAUAUUCCCGUGUGACCGAUAGAGAAACAGUACCGCGAGGGAAAGGUGAAAAGAACCCCGGAAGGGGAGUGAAAUAGAACAUGAAACCGUUAGCCUACAAGCAAUGGGAGGACGAUUGAACGUCUGACCGUGUGCCUGUUGAAGAAUGAGCCGGCGACUUACAGGUUAUGGCAGGUGAAGGGGGAAGACCCCACAGCCCCAGCGAAAGCGAGUCUGAAGAGGGCGAAGCGUCAUAAUUUGUAGACCCGAACCCGGGUGAUCUAACCAUGGCCAGGAUGAAGCUUGGGUAAAACCAAGUGGAGGUCCGAACCGACUAAUGUUGAAAAAUUAGCGGAUGAGCUGUGGUUAGGGGUGAAAUGCCAAUCGAACUCGGAGCUAGCUGGUUCUCCCCGAAAUGUGUUGAGGCGCAGCGGUAGUGGAAGUUUAGUCGGGGUAAAGCACUGUUUCGCCGCGGGCUGGGAGACCGGUACCAAGGCGAGGCAAACUCUGAAUACGGCUAAAAAAACUACCAGUGAGACGGUGGGGGAUAAGCUUCAUCGUCAAGAGGGAAACAGCCCAGACCACCAGCUAAGGUCCCCAAAUGAUAACUAAGUGAGAAAGGAGGUGGGAGUGCAUGGACAACCAGGAGGUUUGCCUAGAAGCAGCAAUCCUUAAAAGAGUGCGUAAUAGCUCACUGGUCAAGCGCUCCUGCGCCGAAAAUGAACGGGGCUAAGUUAUCUACCGAAGCUGUGGACUACAUUGUAGUGGUAGGGGAGCGUUCUAUAGGGGGUGAAGCAGUAGCGGCAAGCAGCUGUGGACUCUAUAGAAGUGAGAAUGUCGGCUUAAGUAGCGAAAAUGUGGGUGAGAAUCCCACACCCCGAAACCCCAAGGUUUCCUCCGCAAGGCUCGUCCGCGGAGGGUCAGUCAGGACCUAAGGCGAGGCUGAAAAGCGUAGUCGAUGGACAACGGGUUAACAUUCCCGUACCGAUUAAUGAUUGUGCCGGAGAACGGAGAAGGUCAACGUCAGCUGGAUGUUGGUUACCAGUGCAAGCAGUCGAGGCGAUGAGAGGUGGUGAAAACACCUGGAGCUAAGACGCGAGUCCCACCUCCCACGGGAGGGAAGUGGCGCUGAUCAAGCUUCCUAGAAAAGCCCGAACCACGUUAAUCAUUAAUUGCCUGUACCCGAAACCGACACAGGUGGGGAAGUAGAGAAUACUAAGGGGCGCGAGAUAACUCUCUCUAAGGAACUCGGCAAAAUGACCCCGUAACUUCGGGAGAAGGGGUACCCUCGCAAGAGGGUCGCAGUGAAUAGGCCCAGGCGACUGUUUACCAAAAACACAGGUCUCCGCCAAGUCGUAAGACGCAGUAUGGAGGCUGACGCCUGCCCAGUGCCGGAAGGUUAAGGAAGUUGGUCAGGAGUAAUCUGAAGCUGACGACCGAAGCCCCGGUGAACGGCGGCCGUAACUAUAACGGUCCUAAGGUAGCGAAAUUCCUUGUCGGGUAAGUUCCGACCCGCACGAAAGGCGUAACGAUCUGGGCACUGUCUCGGAGAGAGACUCGGCGAAAUAGGAUUGUCUGUGAAGAUACGGACUACCUGCACCUGGACAGAAAGACCCUAUGAAGCUUUACUGUAGCCUGGAAUUGGCUUCGGGCUUCGCUUGCGCAGGAUAGGUGGGAAGCUUUGAAACUCUCCUCGUGGGGAGGGUGGAGCUAACGGUGAGAUACCACUCUGGCGAGGCUAGAAUUCUAACCCUGACCCCUAAUCGGGGCGGGAGACAGUUUCAGGUGGGCAGUUUGACUGGGGCGGUCGCCUCCUAAAAGGUAACGGAGGCGCGCAAAGGUUCCCUCGGUCCCGUUGGAAAUGGGACGAUAGAGUGCAAAAGCAGAAGGGAGCUUGACUGUGAGACCCACAAGUCGAACAGGGACGAAAGUCGGCUUUAGUGAUCCGACGGCACCGCGUGGAAGGGCCGUCGCUCAACGGAUAAAAGUUACUCUAGGGAUAACAGGCUGAUCUCCCCCAAGAGUUCACAUCGACGGGGAGGUUUGGCACCUCGAUGUCGGCUCAUCGCAACCUGGGGCUGAAGUCGGUCCCAAGGGUUGGGCUGUUCGCCCAUUAAAGCGGUACGUGAGCUGGGUUCAGAACGUCGUGAGACAGUUCGGUCCAUAUCCGGUGUAGGCGUAAGAGCAUUGCGAGGAGCCUUCCUUAGUACGAGAGGACCGGGAAGGACGCACCGCUGGUGUACCUGUUAUCGUGCCAACGGUAAACGCAGGGUAGCCAUGUGCGGAGCGGAUAACCGCUGAAAGCAUCUAAGUGGGAAGCCCACCUCCAGAUGAUUGCUCUCAUGGCAUUAAGCCAGUAAGGUCUCGGGUAGACUACCCGUUGAUAGGCUCUAGAUGGAAGCUCGGUAACGAGUGCAGUCGAGGAGUACUAACCGACCGAGGGCUUGACCUG
rnacentral:rRNA from 1 species